GAGCCCAGCCUGGAGUGUCACCCCACAGCUGCAGGCUCACCCCUCUGCAUCCCCACUGUGCACCAGUGGAAGGAGAUUUCUCAAAGUGUUGCUGCACUGCACUCACUCCCUUAAAGACCAAAGACCUGGCUUUCACUGACAGCAGAGCCUGCAGAGGCCCAAGACAGAAGCAAGUAUCUCCGAGGUUCUCUGCAUCUGCAAAGCAAGUUCCUAACAGCCAGAAGCUGGGGCUGCCCAUCCUGCAUCGUGGUGUCACACCAUGCUGCAGCAAGCAGCAGUGUGGCUGCACACAUACUGCAGGGUGAGGAGCAUGUGAGGUGUCCCCACUGCCAUGGGGCUGCUGAGCUCCAGCAUGAGUAUCUGGGCAUAUCUGGGUGAUUUACACCUGCAGCCAGGCUUAUUUUCACCAAUCAAUGGAGCUGUGGUUAUCUGACAGUGUGAGAGCUCCUGCUGCUUAGCCAGAGAGUGCUGAGGAUCUGGAUGUCAUUACCAGCAUCCUCACCGGUUAUAGCAGGAAAAAAAAAGAAGGGGAGUAGGAUGACAGGUCCUUGACUGAUGACCCUCAUGUAGCACAACACUGUUCUCCUGCAAACAGCCAGAAGACAAUAAAUUUCUGGGUCACCGAGUCACUAUAAAUAGUUAGCACUUUGUCACUGAACUGCAGUGCAAUCAUGAGCCACAAUGUAUUAAUUAUUAGGGACUUAACGAUAUUGUUUACAUUCUCUGCUCAUACCCCUGGUGCUUAUUCCUAAUAAAAAGCAUCCAACCCAGGCAGGGCUGAGAGUGAGAGCGGCUGUGGCAGAGCGAUGCUCAGCAGUGUGUUGCUGCUGACACAGAGCUUCCAGCUGGAGCCAUGGGCAGUGUUGGGAAGAAGAUGCAGAAAGGAUGCUCCAUUAGGAAGCCCUGCUGCUUUAGGAGCCUUGGGUAGGAGCUGGCUGGGUUCCCAGCUAGUCUAAAGCUCUGACAAAGCGGUGCUGAAGUCAAUAUUGAUAUAAUUGUCUCCAGGCAGGGCAGUGAGAUAAGGUCCAUAAAGCCCGAGCAGUGAGGGAGUGAUCUAAAUAUCUGAAUGUGGGGAACAAAGGAAUGGAGAAGAGAGGGAGGCCCAGGACACAGGAAUCACACCUAGGAUGGUGCUCUGAGCAGUGUGCUCCCCAGUGCUGCAGGGCUGAGAGCCAGCCUGCAUGGACCGAGGGCGAUGCCAUGGAGGUGAUGUUCCUGCUGGCUUUGGAUUCCCUGUUCUGCUCUGAGCACAGUGCAGCCCUCGGGGCUGUUGUCCAUUGCUCAGACAGCAGUGGCUCCUCAGGGUUUGUUCUUCCACCUCCUAUGUUUUGGAGGGAAGACCACACACCAGUCCUGCUGUGGGCAGCAAGGCAAGUCUUGAUCUCAGCAGUUCCCUAAACAAGCCAGAAGCAAUUCCCUAACCAAGCCAGAAACUGCAGGACUGUAUGUAUGCUGCACUUCAUUAUCACAGGCACAGGCAGAGAUCUAAAGGUUAAUGUUUUAUGGGGCUCAGAGGACUUUGGGACGUUAGGAGGAUGGUUGUGCAGCACCUGACCAUAGCAGCUGGGGCCUGGCAGAGUGCCAUUGGGAGCUCAGACACGGGAGUGAGCUCCUGAGAUACAUCUUGGUGUGAUCCUGAGCCACUCCAACAGCACUGAUAUAAGUCACAGUCCUUGUAAAAAUGUGGUCUCAGCUCCAAAGAUGUGUUGGGAAAACACUACCUGAGUGCUGACCUCAGAGCUUGGGCAAAUGCUUCUCCUGGUAUUAAUUCUGAUUUUAAAAGUCCAACUUUCAGACUUUCUGCUCUGUUUGGAAUUAAGCCCCUCUCCAGUGUUGCCAAUGAGAUUCUCAAACUCAGAGGCAUUUGGCACCUCCAGCGACAUUCAGAGUGCUGCUGGGAGCAUCAGUGACUUCUGCACCCCUUUGCUCUGCACCCUGUGCUCAUCCAUCAGGGACACAGCAGCAUCUGACAGCACAGACCAGGAGCUGAGUGCUGGAGGGCAGCAGGACCAGCAGGUCCUUAUUUCAGUGCCUGAAAGAGAAGGGACUGCACACAACACGAGCAUCCCUCCUGCACGACCCUGUCAGGUCAAUUGGAGCUGUGCGACUGGAGAGGGUAUUAUCGUUAUUAGAGGUCAUUUAUUAAAAACAGGAAAUGCUUUUUUUUUUUUUUUAAAAAAAAAAAAAAGAAGGAAGAGACAUUUCCAUGAGAAACAAGAACUUCCAGUGUUCAGAGGUAAUUGCUGAAGGUUGUAAACAAGGCCUUUGGAAGGCUGUAAAUGGCCUCAUGCCCCUGCCAGCACUAAUGGCACUGAGGCAGAGGGACGCGCUCACAGACAGCGGGUGACUGCAGAUGGAUGUCAGUGCAUGUGGGACUGGUGCUGAAAGGAGCCUGAUUACAAAGGGGAUCACAGGAGGUGAAACUCCCGCAUCAGCUUUCCUCUGCCCGGAGUUCCGGAUUCCCAACCUGCCCGACGUGGUUCAUGCAAGCGCUGCCUCUCAUUCUGCCACUCCUGUACGUUUAGCUGGAAUAUACGAGCCCUGUGUGGGACUUACCCCAGUUGGCAGGUGAGCUGCAGGACUGGUAUAACAGGAUCUCACCAAUCUGGGCUAAGGAGCACUGCCAGACUUUGCUCAGUGAGAACUCAGCCCCGUGUGUGCCCGGAGGAUCCCCGACCCCAGCUCUGCUUAUGGGCAGCAAACCCCCAGGAUUUACAUACAGCUCCCCAAACAAACACCCUCCAACAGCAGGAAGCUCAGAGCAGAAGGAGAGCAAAAUGUGGCUGUCCCAUCCCAUCCUGUAUCCCAAAGGCAGCUCUGCCCUUGGGAUGCGCCCGCACUCACCGUGUUGUAGUACUCUGCGAUGAUCGGCGAGCGCACAAAGUUGUUUUCACACCAGUCGAUUUCGGAGCUCUGGUAGGAGAAUAUGCUCGGCAUCGUCGGGUUGCCUGGGCAGAAGGAGAGCAGUGGGUUAGUUGUGAACCCGCAUGCACAAAGGGAAUGGGGAGAAGCAUGCUGCCCACCGGCCCCUUGCACACCUGCACGCACUCAUGUUGCACGGCAUCCUUACCCUGCUAUGAAAGACUCAUCAUCUUCCCAGCACGCAUUGCAUUGCAGACAUUUCCUGCUCUCUCCCCGCAGUCAGAAGUCACAAAUUGCCCCUAGGAAAUAUUCUUGAGCUCUGAGCUUGGGAAUGGUCACCGCAGCCACGUCCAUAGCACUAACAUCCCUCUUUGGGGGUCAUUGCUGCUCCAUGUCCCAGCCCUGCCCUUGUCACCCUGCCUUCUGCCUUUGCUUCACUUUCUUUAUGACUCAGAUCUCGUUGCCAAGAGGACUUCCCCACACCUCAUGGGCCGUGCGCUACCUUUUGGGAGUGGAGCUCUGCAGGGUUUAUUGCUCAUUGGCUCCGUCCUUUCUCAUCGUUUUGCAGCAUUCACCCCAGGGCCGGAGCUCAGUGCAAGCGCCAGGGUAGACUUGGGGUGUUCUCAGAGUCCUGAGGCAUGGAGCAAAGGCCUGGGAUUAUGUCCCUUUGCCAGCAGUGAUUCCACAUUGAGUGCAGUCAGCCCAAUGAAAGGCAUCCAAGCUUCACACCUCUUAUCCUCAGCUUGGCCUCCGGUGGAGGAGGAACUGCAUUUCCAAGGAGGAUUCUAACCAAAAUCCAACCUUUCCUCUUCAUUUCUCUUCCCUGCGCUAAAGACUUUCCUAUCCUCCAUCUGCACAUCAUUUCUCGGCCUUCUUUGGAAAAAUCAAUGUUCUGAUCAAGUUCCUUGUUCACAAACCCUUGAGGCUUUGGAGCUAUCCUGGAGGCUGACAGAGAUGGGUGCCAACCCUGGACGUUUGAGAAUACCAUUCAGACCCUGGGACUGAGUGCUGGGGCUGCUGGAGCUCCUGGGGCUGCUGUGGUUCUUUGGCACUGAGCAAGCCUGAGGCACAGGAAGGUAGGGGUGGAAAGCAGCAUUGUUCCCUUUAAAUCCCUUGCAGCUUUGGGUCUAGCACAGGGAAGGGAAGUUUAUCUUAAAAUCGCUCUUUGGUUCGUUGUGUUAUUAUGGAGAAACCGCCGGGUCCCUGCUUACAGCAGCUGAGGAACGCCGCUGAGCUCAGCAGUGGCUGUAGGUGUGCAAGGUUGGGAAGCAACCAGUUUCCUCUGCCUCCCUUCCCAAGAAGUUCAAAGGCAGAAAGCCUGCAAAUACAACACAGCCACAAACAAGCUCGUCUGCAGCCUCCUGCCUCUACCAGGCAAACUGACUUGUGGAUAAACCUCGACUGCUCCUUUCCAAUUACAAGUUAAUGACACCCUUUCUUUAAUCCAGGUUGGUUCCCCCAAGCAGGUGAGACUGCAUCAAUGAAAGCAGCAGAAAGGAGAUGCAGGCGGGCUGGGCUGUGCUCUGACUCUGCAAUGUUGGAUUUCCAUGGGCUCAUAUGCACCGCAAGGACCAGCUCCUGAUCCCUGGUGUUGUGCAUCACGUGCUUACAGCAACACAAGUGGUUGCAUAGGGAAAGAAGUAGACCCAGAAGGGUAAAACCCAUCUCCAAAUGAGCAAAGAAGCAGACCCAGGAGGGUAAAUCCCAUCUCCUCGCUGAGUCAAGAAGAAGCGAGGGGAUGCUGGAGACAUGCAGCAGGAGAAGCAGAAGGGAAUAGAGGAGCAGUACCCAGCAGCUGCUUGCUUGCUGCUCAUCCCAGCAGUGCUUACCUGUGUUCCCUGGGGAGAGGUGAAUUGUCAGGAGAACAACCUGCCUGGCUUCUGGUUGCAGGCAGUGAACUGCUUCGCUCCGUCUUUAAGGACAGCUUUGGGAUGAGGUGAGAGCCAUGAGCACCCUCCAGGCAAAGCUCUCUGUCCCCCACAGGAAACAUAUUGGCUGGAGGGUUUAUAUCUGUGCUCCCAAAUGGGCAGGGGCAGAGAGGGAGGGCAAGGAAGCGUGAGCUGGAAGGGUUGGAAGAGCAGGUAGAAAUGCAGCCUGAAAUCAUCCGCCUGCCCCUAGGCAGGUUACCUGCGCAGGCGCACACACUGCGCUCCCAGCUCUGGCUUUCCUAAGGGAGGAAUGGAUCUGCACAGCCUCCUUUGGAUUGCUGCUUAAUAAACAGCAUAACCAUUUUCACUCCCCGAAAAACCAUGCAGCAAACUGCAUUCAUUUCCAGGGAUUAAAUUCAAGCCACUUUUCAACUUUUCCCCAAUGGCUGCCAUGUAUUAGCAAAGAUAAAUCACACUUCCUCUAGCUGUAAAUUUUGUUAUUUAGGGAAAGGAUUGGCUGGAUGGGACACCUCUGUGGGACUGCUUUGCAAACAUUUUCCUCCUCAAUCCCAUUCAGGGUAUCAUGAAAACUGGCAGUGUUUGCGCCUUUCCCAAAGAUCAACACCACUUUCCUUCACGUAGGGUUGGGAGAAGAGGACCUACAUUGCUUUCUUAAGGAUAAAGGCUCAUUAUUUGGCCAGCUUGUCUUGAUGGAGCAGGGGAGGCAUUAGGUUCAGCAUCACCAGGCAGGGUCUGACCAAGACCUGAGGUGUUCCUGCCCGUGUCCCUGUCUCUGUCCCUUUCCUUGUCCCUGUCCCCAUCCCCAUCCCUAUCCCCAUCCCCAUCCCUAUCUCCAUCCCUAUCCCUGUCCUCAUCCCCAUCCCUGUUUCAGUCUCUAUCCCUAUCUCUGUCCUUGUGCAUGCAGUCCCUGAGGCUCAGGCUCACACCUCUGCUUUGCUGUGACACUUCCAGGCUGCCUGGGCUGAAUUUACCCUGGAACUCUUUGGUAAGUGUAAUUAUUUCUUUUCAUACCUCUAUAAAAAGGGAGACCUGAGCCAUGCAACACUUCCCAGUGACGCCAGGGCUUACAAGAACUCCACAAAUCCACAUGGAUUUUGAAAUGCAGUGGUAGUUAAUCACUGCAGCAUUUAUCUUAUAGCAUGGUUGAGCCAUGUUGCAUGCCACUAAGACAAAGCUUCUUUCUAGGACAGAUACUGCAGCUCAAAGCAGGAGCUCAGAGCCCAGAAGGCUGUUCCUGUCCCUGGAUGUCUUCACUGCUGUGCUGGAGAAACUUAGGGUGGAAUUUGCUUCUUAUGCACUUACAGCCUCUGAAUGGAUCAUGGCACUUGGUGUGCUGAAGCUCAGGGGCUCCAGGCAACCAAAAAGCAGCGGCAGUGACAGCGAAGAUGGAUGGCACCCCACGCGAGGUGUGGCUCUCAGGGCUGACCCACCUGCUCUUUACAACAUCACGGCCUCAGCCCUUGUGCAAGACAACCCUCGGAAGAGCGGAGCGCAAGCCUUGUCAGGCCCCAGAGGGCUGCUCACAGGGUCCAGGAGCAAUUCCCCACCAAUCCAUCAUCAUUGAGCAACCACCCAGGCACUCUAUUAUCUCUGCUCCAGGCUGGAUGCCUUACACUCAACCCAAUGUCCUUUGCCAAACUGACACCCCCCCACCCGCUAUGCUUGUUAUGAAAUACAGGUUUGUUUAAAAACCAAAACAUUUAAUUGCUUAUAGGAACAACAAUAACAGUGAUAAUUAAAUGAAGUUCUGCCAGUGCUGUCAUCUGUCACAUGCACUUCUCAGUGUGGUCAUGCACAUGCGCAGCAGACUCAGGCUUGCGUAACCAGUGGGAGCUGCUGAGUGUGCAGGGGCUGAACAUGGACUAUUCUCUUUCCAAAGCCUGAGCUAUCUGCAUCUGGAGAAAGAAAAUCCCCUCAUUCUCAGCAGCACCUUCCAACCCUUCCAUCCUUUCCUACUUGGAAGAUUCCUGACUCUAAAGAGACUCAAAAAUGGAAAGAGAUGAGGAGGACUCCUUCUCACUUGAGCUGAGUCUGCAGCUUUCCAUCUAAGCUGGCAGAAGCCUGGCAGUGCUUUGCACCGGGUUUAUCCCACACUGCAAUCCCUUCUGAGAGUGGCGCAAAGCUUUGGCAGGAGGAGAUGGUGACGGUUUGUGCAAGUUUGGUGAGAGACCCAAUAGCAGUGUUGGCAGCAGCCCUGGGAGCCAGAGGCUGCCAAGUCCUUGAGGGGAGACCCCCCGGGUGCCUUUACUCCCUUCCCUGCUGGGCAGAAAGCAGGAGGUGAUGCCUUUGUGUCAGGAAGGGAGAAAUCACUGUGGUCGCCUCCAUCCACUGCUUCUUAUUGAGAAAAACAGAGUAAAGCAUGGGGAGCUGGUGCCUUCCUUCUAACUCUGCAAGCAGCAAAGAAGGAUCAGUCUGCCCAGGGAAGUGGUGGGGGCACCAUCCCUGAAGUGUUCAAGAAACGUGGGGAUGUGGCUCUUGGGGACAUGGUUAGUGGGCAUAGUGGGAUGGGCUGGGUUGGGCUUGGUGAUGUUAGAGGUCUUUUUCAACCUUAAUGAUUCCAUGAUUCUAUGGUCCCAUGGUCCUGCCCGUGGCAGUAUCUGUUCUAUGAAGGACUGUUAAAAGGAAGGAAGCAGGAAACAAUCCUGCCCAACUUCUGGUGGUCGGUGACUUAGCACUUCCUUGGCUGGAAGUCCUGGCCCAUCAUAUGUCAUAGGUCAGAGCAGAGCAAUGCCAUACACAUGCAUCUCAGUCUUUUAAAGGCCAUUUUUGAGGCCAUGCCCUAUGGCACUGAGCUCCAGUUUAACUGCAUGCUGGGUCGAGAACUGCUUCCUUUCACCUGCUUUAAACCUGCUGUUGCUGGCUGUGUUGGUGCCCUCCAGCUUGGUCAGACCUGGAGAACCUCCAGGCCCAUUCCUGCAGCUCUCCUUCCACUCUGCUCAGUCCCACUGCCUCAUCUGCUUUCUCACCUGCGUGCAUAGACGCACCUUCCAUCCCAUGUGCUUGGAGAUCCUCUCCAUCCUCCUGAAACCACCACCUGGCACGAGCCAUGCUUCUCUUUCCUAAAGCAGACAAAAUGCAGAGAGCAUCAUUUGUGGUUCCAACUCAGCCUUGCUGGAUAACAAGCAGUGCUCGUGUCCUUCUAUGAGCCAUUAAACAGCCUGUGCCUGCACAGCAGUCUGAGCACAGCUGCUGCACAAUAAAACAUCCUCACAUCACGACUGCACCGCUCUCUUGUAGACCUUUGUGGUGACCUUAAUGCAGGGCUGGAUGCAUCCCUGGAGCAGCUGCGGUGCAGAACGUGGCACAAAGGAGGGACCACACGCUGGUGCUGGUGCAUGGCCACUUCCUAAGCUCAGCUGCACCCUGAGCUGCAUCCACGUGAGAGGGUUCCUACCCACACCCUCUGUAAGGAGGGAAGGGUUGCACAACACCGGUGACAGCGGAGGAGGCAGCCCUGGGAACCCAGCCUCCAGGCCAUGUCCUUGCCUAUCUCCCGGCACUGCGAUGGGAACAGGGAGAUGGAGCUGUCCCAUCUGCAGCCCAACCCACCUCUCCCUGUGGCACCCAUGGGACUAUUUCCCAAUGAGCAGUUUCCCAAAUCCUCUUUUCGUGCACAGAGCACAGCAGCCCCGGCACGCUCAUGGCUCUGCGGAGGUGACGAAAACAAGCUCCAGCUCAUCCAGGGAUGCUCUUGUUGUGAUGCUACUCCUGCAAGAACAAUAUUAGCACAAACUCAGCAGCAAGAUCAGCUUUGGCUGAGCUGUGGUGUGAUAAGAGAGAAAUCCCAAUUUUUCUAAGUGUCUAUGGAGAGAUCUGUGCCAGCACAGUAGUGCUUCAUCCCAGCAGCUGUGGUGCAUCUCAGGGCUCGAGGCACUCGAAGUUUAUUUCUCACUGGAGUUGUGUGCCUCCUGCCAGCUCCCAGGACAGGUUUUCUCUGUGGUCUCCCUCCGUGCUGACUCCUCACAGGGGAUCUGAAAUCCUGCGGUAGCACAACGCAGUAAUAGCCCUAAUGACAGUUCCUGGCGUUGUUUUGUUUGGUCCAGCUGAGCUGGAAGACAUUACAGAGCUGGUAUAAACAGUAAUUAUCCACUACCUUCCUUUGUUUUUUUCUCUCCAGGUAUUGCAAACAGUCAGAGGCAGCUCAGAGGUGAUAACUGUGCUGGGGUGAGGCUGAAGGCACCCCAUCCUGCAGUAGAGGCUGCACACAUCCCCACUGCCCUGAGGCUGCAGCCCCCAUGGUCCCACUUCACGUUUCCAAGCAUGAAUGAGAUGGAAAUGAUGCUGGGGGUUUUAGCUGGGAGAAAGUGGCCCAGAAGGCACUGGUAUCAUCCAUGCAGGGUGAUGGGAGACAGCUUCCCUGCUCUAUCCCCUCUUGGACAGUUCAAACAGUGAUGAGCAAGGUGCCUCCAGAUGUGCUUUGAGAUAGGAGCUGUGUGUUGUAUGGCUACACAAGUAUAAGGCAAAGCUAAUUCCUGCAGAGCAGAGAGAAUAAAUCAGCUGUGGGCUGAGGAACCCCUGGGUUGGGAUUGAAAAAAAAAAUGCCUGUAAAGAGUCCAAAGGAACCAGCGGGUGUCUGUCUGCCACCUGCGUGUUUCAAACCUGAUACAGCCUCUGUUGUGAGUCACACAGCAGGACCAAUAAUUUCCACUGAGAGUGGUUGGAUUUUCUUUUCCAGUCAGGGACCAGCAGAUAAAAUAUUAAAGCACAAACUGCAAAGCUUGUAGGGCCCUCGCUGUGCAAAAAGCUCAGGGUAGACAGAUUGCUGCCCCAGGUGCACCGUUAGGAGAAUCACCAAUAAAAGAGCAAUACUGCAAAUAGGAGAGAAUCGUGACUUUAUCCCACACUGGGGAAAUACUGCGCGUGAGCUGCAGUGCCUCUGCUUGGGGGUCAAUUCUGCCUGCUCUUGGAGUGUUCGAGUCAGAGGCAAAAUCGGGCUGAACCUCUUUCUGGAUUUGCUUCUUUCACCCUGCUACCUUUUGGGAGCCCCCAGACAACAGCUCCUGUUCCAGGCACUGAGCAGAAGUGCAUGGAGGCAUCCAAACACUUUGGGCAUCUCUGCCUUGCCCUCUUUUGGAAGAGCUGCCUGGUGGUCAUAGAAUCAUCCAUCACAGAACAGUGUGGGUUGGAAGGGACCUUAAUGGCCAUCCAAUGGGCAGUGAUACCUUCCACUGGAUCCACUGCUCAAAGCCCCAUCCAACCUUGAGCAUCUUCAUGGAUGGGGUAUCCACAGCUUCUCUGGGCAGCCUGUUCAACUCCAUGGUAAGGAUAUUUACCCUAAUAUCCAAUCUAAAUCUCCUCUCUUUUAGCUGAAAGCCGCUGCCCCUCAUCCUAUCUCUCCACUCCCGGAUAAACAGACCCUCUUCAUCUUUCCUGCGGACUCCUGCAGGCACUGAAGGCCGAUAGAAGCUGUCCCCGGAGCCGGGGGGAUGCUUCCCUCUGCUGGCACCGAGCAGUCCUGCAAGCUUCACAGCUCCACUUCCCAGCAGCAGGAAUCAUGGAAUUUCUUCUUCAUGGCUUCGGAGGACUGUUCUCUUUAUCCACCUCCUCCCUGCUGGGCUGUUGGGUGCACGCUGUUUUUCUCAUCUCCCAGUCGAUGCUUUAUUUGUCUGUAAAUCCCUAAUGAAAUCUUCGGGUUACUUCCUUCAGCUAUGGGAGCAGAUCACUGCACCUUCCCACGUACCCCAGAAUGUCUUAGGAGUGAGAUGCCCCAUUGACAUGGUUGUGUGCUCCUCCAUCUCCACAUGGGCACCAAGGUGCUGCUGGAGGAGCUGCUCCGGUCUCCCAUGGUUGGAUCCCAGUAUAUCCCAGCAGGAUUGGAUGCUCGGGAUUCACAGCAGCCAGGAGGCCUGGGGAACCUCAUCUGUGUGCUGGGAUAUGAGUACAGUGUGGUGUGAAAGUCACCAUGGUGCAGGCAGCAGUGCUGCCCUACUUGUGCAGGAUCCACUCAGCGAGGCGCUGUGCUGAGAACAAAGCAGUUCAAGCGGUGCAAAACACGGACAUAACAUCGUGUUGUAUAACAGGUCACGCGUUAUUCUGAGCAUCUCCACUGCAGUUUGCACAGAGCCUCAGACCUGAAUUCUGCCCCAAGUCAGCACUCAGAUCCCAGCCUUCCCAUUCCUGUCCUUUGCACAGUGAAUGACCAGUUUGGUGCCGAUCCGCCCAAUGCAGAAAGCUGAGAUCCGUUUAAAUGCAUCCAGCAGACAUCAAAUACCAGACGCAGCUUUAAAAUCAAUUCGGUUCAAUCAGAGCGGCCUUUCGUGUUUAAAGGCAAACUUAAAACGAGGGAACCCAGCGCAGUGAAUCCCGAGGGAG